rnacentral:rRNA from 1 species
AACGAACGCUGGCGGCGUGCCUAACACAUGCAAGUCGAACGAGAAAGGGGCUUCGGCUCCGAGUAAAGUGGCGCACGGGUGAGUAACACGUGGGUAACCUGCCUCUAAGAUUGGGAUAACUCGUCGAAAGAUGAGCUAAUACCGAAUAAGACCACAGUUCCCGCGGGAACAGGGGUCAAAGGUAGCCUCUGCUUGCAAGCUAUCACUCAGAGAUGGGCCUGCGCACCAUUAGCUAGUUGGUAGGGUAACGGCCUACCAAGGCAAGGUUGGUUAGCUGGUCUGCGAGGAUGGUCAGCCGCACUGGGACUGUGACACGGUCCAGACUCCUACGGGUGGCAGCAGUGGGGAAUAUUGCGCAAUGGGCGGAAGCUUGACGAAGCUACGCGGCGUGAGUGAUGAAGACCUUCGGGUCGUAAAGCUCUGUCGGGAGGUACGAAUGCUCCUGAGGUUAACAGCCUCGGGAAGUGACGGUACCUUCAAAAGAAGCACCGGCUAACUCUGUG